UACGAAGGGGGCUAGCGUUGUUCGGAAUUACUGGGCGUAAAGCGCACGUAGGCGGACAUUUAAGUCAGGGGUGAAAUCCCAGAGCUCAACUCUGGAACUGCCUUUGAUACUGGGUGUCUUGAGUAUGGAAGAGGUGAGUGGAAUUCCGAGUGUAGAGGUGAAAUUCGUAGAUAUUCGGAAGAACACCAGUGGCGAAGGCGGCUCACUGGCCCGGUACUGACGCUGAGGUGCGAAAGCGUGGGGAGCAAACAGG
rnacentral:rRNA from 1 species